AAAAGCAAAUCAGAUCAAACUGAAUCUUAAUUAGUGAUAAUUGAGAAUUGUGGUGUUUAGAGCUACUUUUAAGCAAAACUAAUAAAGUAAAAUUAUUUGGAAAAUUAAACCUUAGAGGGUGAUAGUCCCGUAUAUUUUUAUGUUUUGUUUUUGUAGUUUCUUGAGUAGUGUCUAUUGGAAAUUAGGCAUGAAUCUGGGAGACAUAUACUUCCAAAUCUAAAUAUAGUACAAAACCGAUAGUAAACUAGUACCGUGAGGGAAAAUUGAAAAGAAGUCCUAAAAAGACUGUGAAAAGAUUUGAAACAUAAUAGAUAUGGGAUGAUGCGGCAAUAAGUUGUUGCAUCGUACGUUCCGAAUAACGGGCCAGGGAGUUUAAUUUUAUGGCGAGAUGAAAAUCGUAGGGAAACCAAAUUGUUGUACAUAUUAGAACAUAGGUAGUAAUACUGCCAAAGUCAUAGAUUUAUAACCCGAAACCGGAUGAUCUAUACCUGAACAAGAUGAAGUGGGAGUGAAAUCCCAUGGAGGUCUGAAGCAUUUCCAAGUCUAUCGGUUUGUAUGAUUUAGGUAUAGGGGUGAAAAGCCAAUCGAAUUCGGUAAUAGCUGGUUCCUAUCAAAAUUGGCCUUAGUCAAGCCUCUUCAGAGAAUGUUAUAAGUGUAGAGCUACGGAUUGAUAUUUUGGGCGACCGAGGUCGUUCAAGUAUCUGUCCAACUCCGAAAUUUAUAACUUUGUAGAAGAAGAGAGUCGGCGAUACUUGGGGUAAACUUGUAUUGCGUGAGGGUAACAACCCAGAUUUUAGUUAAGGUCCCUAAAUAGUUAUUAAGUGAUAAAGGGUAAAAGAUGUAAGUGUUCGAAGACAAAAAGGAGGUUUGCUUAGAAGCAGCAAUCCUUUAAAGAGUGCGUAACAGCUCACUUUUCGAGAAUAUUUGUUCUGAAAAUAAUCGGGUCUAAAUAACUUACCGAUACUAAAAUUUUGAAUUUAUUCAAUAAGGUAGAUAGGUGUUAAAUGAGGGUAGAAGUUAUUUUUUAAGAAAUAAUGGACCUCAUUUAAAUAAGAAUCCUGGCAGUAGUAGGAGAUGAGAGGUGUGAGAAUCACCUCGGACGUAAGGGCAAGGGUUUCUUCUCAAUGUAUAUCAGAGAAGAGUUAGUCAUUCCUAACCAAACUCGUAAAUGAAUUUAGGGAAAGGGAAACAGAUUAAUAUUUCUGUACUAUUUCAAUAGAUAUGGCGACACAACUUUGUUUCUUGACAUUUUGGGUUAGUUGAUGCCAAAUAUAUUUGGUCUAAAAAAUAUAAAACAAUGGAGAGUAGUAAUUACGAGAAGUUGUUUAAGUUUUUAUGGAUAAUUUUUAACAAUACCUAGAAUCAGUGAAAAAAGAGAUAAUGCGAUUUGAAAUAAAUGUACCCACAACCGACACAGGUGCCCCUGGGUGAUAAGCCCAAGUCCUGAAGGAUUAAUCUAUGUAAGGGAAUUCGGCAAAUUAGCCACAUAACUUAGGAAUAUGUGGUCCCUAAAAUAUUUAUUUAAUUUUAGAUAACUUUAGGGUUCAAUAACAAAGACAGUCCGACUGUUUAAUUAAAACAUAGGGAACUGCUAGUCAGUGAUGAUGUGUAUAGUUCCUGAAGUCUGCCCACUGCCAGUAACUAAAACUCUUUUUCAAGGGAGCCAAGGUCUGGUAAAGGGCGGGGAUAACUAUGAUCCUCUUAAGGUAGCGAAAUGCCUUGCCGUUUAAUUGACGGCUUGCAUGAAUGGCGUAACGAGAUUGUCACUGUCCCUAUAUAGAUCCCUCUGAACUUACCAUUCCGGUGCAAAGGCCGGAGACUCCAAGUGGGAAGCGAAGACCCCGUUGAACUUUACUGCAGCCUGCUAUUGUAAAUAGUUUUUUAGUAUAACAAGGAGCUUAGGCAAAACGGAAGAACUUGUUGCUAAUAAACUAUUUGCUUAUCUCAAAAUAAAUUUGGGAAACAGUAGUUGGUGGGCAGUUUGGCUGGGAUGGCACCCUGCUGAAAAGAUAUCAGCAGGGCCCAAAGGUCAGCUCAAUUGGUUUGGAAAUCCAAUGUAGAGAGCAAAGGCAAAAGCUGGCUUUAUUGAAAUUACUACAAUACUAAUUUUAAUUGGGAAACCAUGGCUUAUCGAUCUCCAAUAUCUUUAUAUAUGAGAGUUUGGAUUGACAGAAAAGUUACCACGGGGAUAAUAGGGUUGUCCUUCUCGAGAGUUCAUAUCGACAGAAGGGUUUG
rnacentral:rRNA from 1 species